GGGUGUGAUCAUACCAACGUUAAUGUACCAGAUCCCAUCGGAACUCCGCAGUUAAGCACGAUUGUGCUAGAUUAGUUGAUCCAGAUGGAUAUCAGUGGCCACCCACC
rfam:Picea glauca, whole genome shotgun sequence.